rnacentral:rRNA from 1 species
UACGAAGGGGGCUAGCGUUGUUCGGAAUUACUGGGCGUAAAGGGCGCGUAGGCGGUGCCUCAAGUCAGGCGUGAAAGGCCCGGGCUCAACCCGGGGACUGCGCUUGAUACUGUCGCGCUGUGAGUCCGGGAGAGGAUGGCGGAAUUCCCAGUGUAGAGGUGAAAUUCGUAGAUAUCGGGAGGAACAUCAGUGGCGAAGGCGGCUACCUGGCCCAAUACUGACACUCAGGUGCGACAGCGUGGGGAGCAAACAGG